UUAGACGUUUGGUUUUUUUUUUAUCUGAACGGAUAAGUCGCUUAUUAAGUUGUUUAGCAGACGACAGCGUAUUUUAGUAGUUUAGCGAUCGUUAAAAUAAUCAAAAUUUACGCUUACCUAUCGUAUUCACCGUUAAAAAAACAAAAAUACAAAUGGACUCUUUAUUUUCAAGCGCGUUGAACAAGUGUCGUCAAUUUGAUACGU